rnacentral:rRNA from 1 species
UACGUAGGGCGCAAGCGUUGUUCGGAAUUACUGGGCGUAAAGGGCUCGUAGGCGGCCAACUAAGUCAGACGUGAAAUCCCUCGGCUUAACCGGGGAACUGCGUCUGAUACUGGAUGGCUUGAGUUUGGGAGAGGGAUGCGGAAUUCCAGGUGUAGCGGUGAAAUGCGUAGAUAUCUGGAGGAACACCGGUGGCGAAGGCGGCAUCCUGGACCAAUACUGACGCUGAGUGAGCGAAAGCCAGGGGAGCAAACGGG